GUCAGGGCAUAAGGGCCAGGCCUGCCCUCUGGUGCUUUCGGCUCCUCGGGCCCCCGACUUUAAAGUGCUCAAGUUGGGGUCGGCGCCAUCAUGACGCCUGAGACUGAGAAGAAAAAGUUACAAGUAAUAGAAGAACUAACUCAUUCAGGAGCCCGAAGAAAGGAACAGAACUUCUAGUGUGAGAUGCUGAGACCGCCUCACUGUGAAAGGACAGGACAGCAUGAGCCGGAAUCAACUGUAUCAUUGGAAUAUGUAUUUUAGCAACUGACUCUCCUAUGAAAGCAACAGUAAAUUAACAGAGUUUCAGGGUCAAACAACUCAAGAUUCUGUCAGUAAUUAGUUGUUGUGAUGUAUUCAUUGACUUGACUAUCCUGAAGGUUACCCUGACAGCUGGAUUCUGAGUGAGUUCUUCAGGUUGCUUGAGGAAAGGCUAACAUCUGAGUCAGUGAGCACUAUGGCUGACUCUUGGAUAUCAUCUGUAACCCUAUUCCCUUGACAAUGAAUAACACUGAAUUCAAUUAAAAUCUGACCCAAACAAGAAGGAGCCUGAAGCUACAGUCUGUCUACAUGAAAAAUAAAUUGGGAACUCAGUAGGGAAAGACACUUGCCUCCUAACCUGACCACCAGGGUUCUAUUCCCUAGACCAGCAUGGUUGAAGAGAAGACAAACUCCCAUAAGGUCUCCUCUGGCUUCAACACUGUCCUCAGGGUCUGCAUCUGGCCACACAUACACAUGUUACCUAAUUCAAUCUUUCAUUAAUAAAGUUCCAAUAAAAGAA
ensembl:lincRNA 4930570G19Rik RIKEN cDNA 4930570G19 gene